AUUGAACGCUGGCGGCAUGCCUUACACAUGCAAGUCGAACGGUAACGCGGGGCAACCUGGCGACGAGUGGCGAACGGGUGAGUAAUGCAUCGGAACGUGCCCAGUAGUGGGGGAUAGCCCGGCGAAAGCCGGAUUAAUACCGCAUACGACCUACGGGUGAAAGCGGGGGACCGUAAGGCCUCGCGCUAUUGGAGCGGCCGAUGUCAGAUUAGGUUGUUGGUGGGGUAAAGGCCUACCAAGCCGACGAUCUGUAGCUGGUCUGAGAGGACGACCAGCCACACUGGGACUGAGACACGGCCCAUACUCCUACGGGAGGCAGCAGUGGGGAAGUUUGGACAAUGGGGGCAACCCUGAUCCAGCCAUGCCGCGUGCGGGAAGAAGGCCUUCAGGUUGUAAACCGCUUUUGUCAGGGAAGAAACGGUUAGCGUGAACAUCGCUGACUACUGACGGUACCGGAAGAAUAAGCACCGGCUAACUACGUGCCAGCCGCCGCAGUAAGAC
rnacentral:rRNA from 1 species